rnacentral:rRNA from 1 species
UACAGAGGUGCCAAGCGUUAGGCGGAAUCACUGGGCUUAAAGCGCGUGUAGGUGGACGGGUAAGUAUCUUGUGAAAUCCCACGGCUCAACCGUGGAACUGCUGGAUAUACUGCUUGUCUUGAGGCACUUAGGGGCAGCUGGAACAAAUGGUGGAGCGGUGAAAUGCGUAGAGAUCCGGAAGAACACCGGUGGCGAAGGCGGUCUGCUGGGCAGUGGACCCGGUGAGGGUCCAGUAGCCGACACUGAUGCGCGACAGCGUGGGGAGCAACAGGAUAGAA